CCUACGGGUGGGCUGCAGUGGGGAAUAUUGGACAAUGGGCGAAAGCCUGAUCCAGCCAUGCCGCGUGUGUGAAGAAGGCCUUCGGGUUGUAAAGCACUUUCAGUGGGGAAGAAAGCCUUGGGGCUAAUACCCUCGAGGAAGGACAUCACCCACAGAAGAAGCACCGGCUAACUCCGUGCCAGCAGCCGCGGUAAUACGGAGGGUGCGAGCGUUAAUCGGAAUUACUGGGCGUAAAGCGCGCGUAGGCGGUCUGAUAAGCCGGUUGUGAAAGCCCCGGGCUCAACCUGGGAACGGCAUCCGGAACUGUCAGGCUAGAGUGCAGGAGAGGAAGGUAGAAUUCCCGGUGUAGCGGUGAAAUGCGUAGAGAUCGGGAGGAAUACCAGUGGCGAAGGCGGCCUUCUGGACUGACACUGACGCUGAGGUGCGAAAGCGUGGGUAGCAAACAGGAUUAGAUACCCGUGUAGC
rnacentral:rRNA from 1 species